CUACGGGUUGCAGCAGUGAGGAAUAUUGCACAAUGGGGGGAACCCUGAUGCAGCAACGCCGCGUGGAGGAUGACGCAUUUCGGUGUGUAAACUCCUUUUAUAUGUCAAGAAAAUGACGGUAGCAUAUGAAUAAGCACCGGCUAACUCCGUGCCAGCAGCCGCGGUAAUACGGAGGGUGCAAGCGUUACUCGGAAUCACUGGGCGUAAAGGACGCGUAGGCGGGUUGGAAAGUCAGGUGUGAAAUCCUACAGCCUAACUGUAGAACUGCACUUGAAACUUCUAAUCUAGAGUAUGGGAGGGGGAGAUGGAAUUAGUGGUGUAGGGGUAAAAUCCGUAGACAUCACUAGGAAUACCUAAAGCGAAGGCGAUCUCCUGGAACAUUACUGACGCUAAGGCGUGAAAGCGUGGGGAGCAAACAGGAUUAGAUACCCGUGUAGUC
rnacentral:rRNA from 1 species